rnacentral:siRNA from 1 species
AUACAAUGUUUUCACGUAAUGGUC